UAGGGAAUCUUCCGCAAUGGGCGAAAGCCUGACGGAGCAACGCCGCGUGAGUGAUGAAGGUCUUCGGAUCGUAAAACUCUGUUAUUAGGGAAGAACAAAUGUGUAAGUAACUAUGCACAUCUUGACGGUACCUAAUCAGAAAGCCACGGCUAACUACGUGCCAGCAGCCGCGGUAAUACGUAGGUGGCAAGCGUUCUCCGGAAUUAUUUGGCGUAAAGCGCGCGUAGGCGGUUUUUUAAGUCUGAUGUGAAAGCCCACGGCUCAACCGUGGAGGGUCAUUGGAAACUGGAAAACUUGAGUGCAGAAGAGGAAAGUGGAAUUCCAUGUGUAGCGGUGAAAUGCGCAGAGAUAUGGAGGAACACCAGUGGCGAAGGAGACUUUCUGGUCUGUAACUGACGCAGAUGUGCGAAAGCGUGGGGAUCAAACAGG
rnacentral:rRNA from 1 species